AUUGAACGCUGGCGGCAGGCUUAACACAUGCAAGUCGAGCGGAGAGAGGUAGCUUGCUACUGAUCUUAGCGGCGGACGGGUGAGUAAUGCUUAGGAAUCUGCCUAUUAGUGGGGGACAACAUUUCGAAAGGAAUGCUAAUACCGCAUACGUCCUACGGGAGAAAGCAGGGGAUCUGCGGACCUUGCGCUAACAGAUGAGCCUAAGUCGGAUUAGCUAGUUGGUGGGGUAAAGGCCUACCAAGGCGACGAUCUGUAGCGGGUCUGAGAGGAUGAUCCGCCACACUGGGACUGAGACACGGCCCAGACUCCUACGGGAGGCAGCAGUGGGGAAUAUUGGACAAUGGGCGCAAGCCUGAUCCAGCCAUGCCGCGUGUGUGAAGAAGGCCUUAUGGUUGUAAAGCACUUUAAGCGAGGAGGAGGCUACUUUAGUUAAUACCUAGAGAUAGUGGACGUUACUCGCAGAAUAAGCACCGGCUAACUCUGUGCCAGCCGCCGCGGUAACAC
rnacentral:rRNA from 1 species